rnacentral:tRNA from 8 species
AGGCACAUAGCUCAGUUGGUUAGAGCAUCACCUUGACAUGGUGGGGGUCGUUGGUUCGAGUCCAAUUGUGCCUACCA